rnacentral:rRNA from 1 species
UACGGAGGGGGCUAGCGUUGUUCGGAAUUACUGGGCGUAAAGCGCACGUAGGCGGCUUUGUAAGUUAGAGAUGAAAGCCCGGGGCUCAACUCCGGAAUUGCCUUUAAGACUGCAUCGCUAGAAUUGUGGAGAGGUAAGUGGAAUUCCGAGUGUAGAGGUGAAAUUCGUAGAUAUUCGGAAGAACACCAGUGGCGAAGGCGACUUACUGGACACAUAUUGACGCUGAGGCACGAAAGCGUGGGGAGCAAACAGG